rnacentral:rRNA from 1 species
GAUGAACGCUGGCGGCGUGCCUAAUACAUGCAAGUCGAGCGAAUGGAUUAAGAGCUUGCUCUUAUGAAGUUAGCGGCGGACGGGUGAGUAACACGUGGGUAACCUGCCCAUAAGACUGGGAUAACUCCGGGAAACCGGGGCUAAUACCGGAUAACAUUUUGAACCGCAUGGUUCGAAAUUGAAAGUCGGCUUCGGCUGUCACUUAUGGAUUGACCCGCGUCGCAUUAGCUAGUUGGUGAGGUAACGGCUCACCAAGGCAACGAUGCGUAGCCGACGUGAGAGGGUGAUCGGCAACGCUGGGACUGGGACAAGGCCCAGACUCCUACGGGAGGCAGCAGUAGGGAAUCUUCCGCAAUGGACGAAAGUCUGAAGGAGCAACGGCGCGUGAGUGAUGAAGGCUUUCGGGUCGUAAAACUCUGUUGUUAGGGAAGAACAAGUGCUAGUUGAAUAAGCUGGCACCUUGACGGUACCUAACCAGAAAGCCACGGCUAACUACGUGCCAGCAGCCGCAGUAA